CGGGACGGGUGAGUAAUGUCUGGGAAACGUGCCUGAUGGAGGGGGAUAACUACUGGAAACGGUAGCUAAUACCGCAUAACGUCGCAAGACCAAAGAGGGGGACCGUUCGGGCCUCUUGCCAUCGGAUGUGCCCAGAUGGGAUUAGCUAGUAGGUGGGGUAACGGCUCACCUAGGCGACGAUCCCUAGCUGGUCUGAGAGGAUGACCAGCCACACUGGAACUGAGACACGGUCCAG
rnacentral:rRNA from 1 species